CAAGAUUUCACCAGAAAAACAGCAAGUACUUUUGAACAUUUAAAACAGGGAGCCUAAUGCAGGGAAGUAGUUACACAAGUGAUGGAGAAGUGGAGAAGCAAACCAAGCCACAUGGACAUCAUUGGCAAAAGUGGUGGCAAAACAGCAACUCUGAUGUUGGGAUGUGCAUGUUAAAACGUUGCUCUGACUCACAGAAUCGGAAUGUAAUUUACCAUUGAGGAUAAACUCUGUGAAAACACUUCCACGAUCAAAAUAAAAGAUGAAAAAGAAGAGUAUCUUUGAGCCCCAAGGAGAAUUAGAUCUGAUGGUAUCUGCUGCAACUUGCAAAUGUGAACAUUUUUAAGGGUAACAACAGGACUGGGAUAUAGCAGGCCAGAGAGAAUUGUGUCUGAAAAUGUUGCUGCACAUUUGGUGCAAAUCAACAGUGAAAAACA